UCUGAUGGAUGAGCAAAGAAAGUAGCUUCGUGAAACAGAAUCUACUCCUGGUGAAGAUCCUGUGAA
rnacentral:pre_miRNA from 1 species